rnacentral:lncRNA from 1 species
GCCGAGCAAAGAUGGAGAGGAGGUCCCAGCCCCCGGGGCGCGGUGUUGCGCACGCGGGGGAGCUGGGCCGGGGAUAUGCGCACGUGUGCGCACGCGGCGGACAGGGACUAGGGGUGCACGUGCGUAUAUAAGCACCUGGGGAGGGGGACAGAAGCUGAGGAGGUGUGCACCUGUGCAUGUACACGGGUGUGUGUGCAUCCGGGGAAUGGGGGGUAGGAGUGUGUAUACACGUGUGGGCACAUGAGGAACAGGGGCAAAGUGUGCAGGUUUCCACCCGGCCGCGGACGGUUUCCCAAUUUAACCGCUUUUAUGCUGAUCACGCCCACUCUGCUUCUCCAGUAAAGCCCCUCCCGGCCUAAGACUGUUCACACCUUAGCGCUGGUUUCUUGAAGGGAGCAGAGAUAUUCGCGUUCUUUCUCUUCAGUACGCGGCACUCAGAGAAACCGGGAUCCAGGAGGAAGAGGCACAUGGAAGUUCCUGGGCAAGGCGUCGAAUCUGAGCUGCAGCUGCUGGCCUACACCACAGGCAACGCCGGAUCCUUAACCCAGUGAGCAAGGAGAGGAAUCGAACCCAUAUCCAGCCAUUUUCUGUUUUCCACCGCAGCGAUGAUGACAAGAGGAUGCAGAAAUUGCCAGGCAGGGGAUUGAACCCACACCACAGCCGCAACCCGAGCCACUGCGGUGACAACACAAAUCCUUAAGCUGCUGAGCCACAGGACUCCAGGAUUAGUCAAUCUUAAGGACUCACAUGACUACUUACAGGCUGAAGCCACAGUCCUUUGAGAAGCUCCCCUUGGACCCGACAGCUUCUAGAAGAUCACGGCACCCAGUCUCCCCAGAUGUCUCCUUCCGGCCUCGUUUGCUACUUGAGCGCCCGUCUCUGCUCUUCCUCCGAAACGCCCACCUUGGCCAGGAGAGUAAUUCCUUUCAUCCCCUGACCACCAACCCUGCCGUCCAGCGCGGUGUCCUUCUGGGUGAUUUCAUGUUGCUGAGAUGACAUCGGGCUGUUUUUUAUGGAACCCCACAACGGAAGGUCCGAGGUCCUUCUCCUCGUGUCAUUUCCCUCCUCAGUAGAACCCAUGACCAUCGGCCAGGAGGGAAAGUGCCAGGAGCCAACAGCACGAUUUUGGGAAACUUGAUUUUAUGUUCAACCGAAUGCCUCUGCUCACGUCCCUACUGCUGUCCCCUUACCUCGCCGAGUCAGAGAAGGGCCCUGCAGCUUACCCACUGCAAUGAGGCUGGGGUGACCUCGGGAGGUCAAUGAGCUCGGAUGAGUGAUCUCAGCUCCUCUCUGGCUCAGAUUUCUUUAGCUGAGAAAUAAGAAAAUAAAAAAUAAAGUUCUUUAUAAG